rnacentral:snoRNA from 1 species
UUCCUCUCAGGGUCGCGUCUGGAGAGUGUCCAGUCCUCUACCAGUCUUGACUACGGGAGGGAGAGUCAAACAGAGGCCUACCCGUUCCAUUCCUAGCUUGGCCAGUGGCUAGCGAGCGGCAGGCAAUCUGCUACUAGU